CCGCCCCGUGCCGCGCCGCGCUUCCCGUCGGACCAGUUUCGGAAAGCGUCCGCCUGGGGUCUGUGAGUCACUGAGGUCGGCAGUGGGACUGCGUGCGUGUGAACCCAGACUGCCUUCUUCCUGCUGCAGGAAGCCGGAGGGAAUCAGCCCAUUUACGCCCUACCAGACUAGAAGAGAGCAGAAAAGUGGCAGCAGAGCACAGCAUGUGAGAUUGGAGCAGUCCUCUCUUGGGAGAGACAGCACCAGAACUUUGCAUGGAACCUGAAUGAGCUGGUGGUUCGUGAACAGAGCUGUAUCAAUGCCAAUGCCCUGGCUUCACCAUCACAACAUAAAGACCCUAGAUACUAACCCUGGAGAAGUACUUGGGAAUUGUUUCUACUGCUUCGCUUUGCAACUUUAAGUCCAAAGUCAUUUCAAAAUAAAAAGUUUUAAGAGUUAAAAAAAAAGUAAACCCCUUUUUAGUAGUAAUGAUUACUUUGGCAAAGUAACAACAACAAACUAAAAAAUAAUGGUAAACCUUUAAGUUGGAAACAGUGAGUAGAGAACAAGUCUUAUUGAGAGGAAGGUAGAUAUUGAUUAAUUUUAGGCAUUUUAAGUCCAUAUUAAAAUGUUAAGGGCAGCUCUUCCUGUUACCUUUUGAACGAUUCAGGCUUCAAGCCAUUGGGUGGAGCAGAUCACAUAUUAGCCGUGAAGGAGAGGACUAGUGGCCCAGAGUGGAAUAUUUCUUUUAUUCUCUACUCUAUCCUCAGUGUCUGAUAUGUGUUCAGUAAAUAUUUGUGGAAUAGAUGGAUACAUAAA